GGGCUCACUUCGGCAGCACAUAUACUAAAACUGGAAGAGUACAGAGAAGAUUAGAACGGCCCCUGCACGCGGGUAACAGGCAAACUCAUGAAGUGUUCCAAGGUAAC